rnacentral:rRNA from 1 species
AACGGACGCUGGCGGCAUGCCUAACACAUGCAAGUCGAACGAGACCUUCGGGUCUAGAGGCGCACGGGUGCGUAACGCGUGGGAACCUGCCCUUAGGUUCGGAAUAACUCCCCGAAAGGGGUGCUAAUACCGGAUAAUGUCUUCGGACCAAAGAUUUAUCGCCUUUGGAUGGGCCCGCGUUGGAUUAGCUAGUUGGUAGGGUAAAAGCCUACCAAGGCGACGAUCCAUAGCUGGUCUGAGAGGAUGAUCAGCCACACUGGGACUGAGACACGGCCCAGACUCCUACGGGAGGCAGCAGUGGGGAAUAUUGGACAAUGGGCGAAAGCCUGAUCCAGCAAUGCCGCGUGAGUGAUGAAGGCCUUAGGGUUGUAAAGCUCUUUUACCCGGGAUGAUAAUGACAGUACCGGGAGAAUAAGCUCCGGCUAACUCCGUG